rnacentral:sRNA from 1 species
UUUUUAGUAGAGAUGGGGUUUCACUGUGUUAGCCAGGAUGGUCUCGAUCUCCUGACCUCGUGAUCCACCCACCUCGGCCUCCCAAAGUGCCGGGGUUACAGGCUUGAGCCACUGCGCCCGGCUGACCAGUAACCAUUUUUAAAUGGGAUCUUUUGUAUUGUUAAUUACUGUUAAGAAUAACUUUGCUGCUAUUGCUCUAUAGGGCUGACCAGUUUGAGUAUGUAAUGUAUGGAAAAGUGUACAGGAUUGAGGGAGACGAAACUUCUACUGAAGCAGCAACACGCCUCUCUGCCUACGUGUCCUAUGGGGGCCUGCUCAUGAGGCUGCAGGGGGAUGCCAAUAACCUGCAUGGAUUUGAGGUGGACUCCAGAGUUUAUCUCCUGAUGAAGAAGCUAGCCUUCUGAACCUCGCCUGAAGCCAGCCUCGCUGCCAAGUCACUCAGGUCAUGGGCAUUGUUCAAGCCUGAGUGGCAGCCGCUCUUGCCCCUCUUGAGGAGGGGCUGGCUCACUGUCCACUGUGGUGGCAUCUUUAACUGGCCUCCACUCAGUGGGAAACUGACUCGCCUGUGAAAGACACAGUGGGAGAGCUGAAAAUGAAUCAGAAGCUUUAUGUAUAUGAUUUUGAAAUUAAACUUUACUUUUUCAGA